rnacentral:rRNA from 1 species
CCUACGGGAGGCAGCAGUGAGGAAUAUUGGUCAAUGGACGCGAGUCUGAACCAGCCAAGUAGCGUGAAGGAUGACUGCCCUACGGGUUGUAAACUUCUUUUAUAAAGGAAUAAAGUGAGGCACGUGUGCCUUUUUGCAUGUACUUUAUGAAUAAGGAUCGGCUAACUCCGUGCCAGCAGCCGCGGUAAUACGGAGGAUCCGAGCGUUAUCCGGAUUUAUUGGGUUUAAAGGGAGCGUAGAUGGGUUGUUAAGUCAGUUGUGAAAGUUUGCGGCUCAACCGUAAAAUUGCAAUUGAUACUGGCAGCCUUGAGUACAGUUGAGGUAGGCGGAAUUCGUGGUGUAGCGGUGAAAUGCUUAGAUAUCACGAAGAACUCCGAUUGCGAAGGCAGCUUACUAAACUGCGACUGACAUUGAUGCUCGAAAGUGUGGGUAUCAAACAGGAUUAGAUACCCGUGUAGUC